rnacentral:rRNA from 1 species
UAGGGAAUCUUCCGCAAUGGGCGAAAGCCUGACGGAGCAACGCCGCGUGAGUGAUGAAGGUCUUCGGAUCGUAAAACUCUGUUAUUAGGGAAGAACAAAUGUGUAAGUAACUAUGCACGUCUUGACGGUACCUAAUCAGAAAGCCACGGCUAACUACGUGCCAGCAGCCGCGGUAAUACGUAGGUGGCAAGCGUUAUCCGGAAUUAUUGGGCGUAAAGCGCGCGUAGGCGGUUUUUUAAGUCUGAUGUGAAAGCCCACGGCUCAACCGUGGAGGGUCAUUUGAAACUUGAAAACUUGAGUGCAGAAGAGGAAAGUUGAAUUCCAUGUUGAGCGGUGAAAUGCGCAGAGAUAUGGAGGAACACCAGUGGCGAAGGCGACUUUCUGGUCUGUAACUGACGCUGAUGUGCGAAAGCGUGGGGAUCAAACAGG